UGGGGAAUUUUGCACAAUGGGGGAAACCCUGAUGCAGCGACGCCGCGUGAUUUAGAAGGCCUUCGGGUUGUAAAAAUCUUUUUUACGGGAUGAAAAUGACAGUACCGUAAGAAUAAGGUCCGGCUAAAUACGUGCCAGCAGCCGCGGUAAUACGUAUGGACCGAGCGUUGUCCGGAAUCAUUGGGCGUAAAGGGUACGUAGGCGGCCUAAUAAGUUAGAAGUGAAAGAAUAUAGCUCAACUAUAUAAAGCUUUUAAAACUGUUAGGCUUGAGAGAUGAAAGGGAAAGUGGAAUUCCUAGUGUAGCGGCGAAAUGCGCAGAUAUUAGGAAGAAUACCGGUGGCGAAGGCGACUUUCUGGUCAUCAUCUGACGCUGAGGUACGAAAGCGUGGGUAGCAAACAGG
rnacentral:rRNA from 1 species